AGAAAUUACUGCCGUAGUGCAAAUCCCUAGCCGCAGCCCGCAGCCGUCGCUCUGUUCCCCAUCUCCCUUCGCCUUCUCGCGCCCGCUCCGCCGCUGCCGCCGCCACCGGAGCCUCUCCUCUCCUGGAGGUCGCAUAUGGACCCCUCCAUACCGUCGAGCUCGCCGUCGCGGAUCCUCGUCGAACUUCGACCUGCCCUGUCCUUCGUCGACGGCAUCCCCCUCUCCUCCCCAUCUUUUCCAGCGACGUCCUCAUGCGGAUUCGCCUCCUCCCCGAUGAUCUCUCUUUGCCAGAGGCUCGGAGGCGCCGACAUCCUUCCUCGCCUACCCAACGCCGGCCGGGGAUGACCGUCGGCUGCCUCCUCCUCCUCCCCUCGCAGCAGCUACCCCUCUCUUUCUCUCCCCCAGAUCUGAUCUGGACCCCGCUUUCAAUUGUACAGCCAUAUCAUCAAUCAAUACGCACCACUUUUUGGUUCAUUUUGUAUGUGCGUGCGUGGUCAGAGUUUUUAUUAUAUAUAUGCACCAUUCUUUGCUGAAUAUAUGCACCAUUCUUUUAGUUCUACCAAACUGAAAUGAAAUCUUACCCUCUUUGUGGAUGAUGCGCCUAUUUAUUAUACUCGCGCUGGCUGCCCUCUUUAGAUUAGAAGAGGAUUCUGAUGCUCAAACGCAGCACCAACCAGAUCGAUAAGGCAUUACCUUAUCAAGUUCGAAAACAACCAUUAGGAAUAGCAGAUUCUUAAGCUUUCCCAACUUCGCGAGUUUCUGAAAAUGUGAUGUACACUUUGGUUGAUUUCAAGGAUAGAAUUGCAGUUUGCUUACUCAAGAGCUAUUAUAGGCUGCGGCGCCAUUUGUGCAUUGUCACACAACAGUCCAGUCCAGAGAUGAAUUUUGAAUGAGUGGAAAACUUAGUAGUAGGUUCGUUUUGUUAGUUCUCCACAGUCCAAUUGCCCUCGUUGGUCGUAUUAUUUGUUUAUGUUGGCACAAGUAUUGGCGAGUUUGUUGCACAUUCUGUACAAUUAAAUACUGAAUAUGAUGCAGGCGCACGACAUCGACGAUCAGGACGACGAGGCAGAGAAGUACGAGGACCGAGACAUGCAGGACCCCAUGCCCGAGCUUGACAGGACAUUGUCGAGUCCAGCCCGACCAUGGUGACGCCCUGUUGGUCCCUGCUCCCUAUCAGCAAUGGCUCCCUGCAGCAGGGCCUGCUAUUGAUCCUUUUGCUCAAAGAAGGGAAGAGAAGAAGAGCAGGGUCAAUAAUACACACAAUUUUCUGGUUCAUUUUGUAUGUGCGUGGUCGAGUUUUGAUUAAAACUGGAGCGUUUUUUAUUAUUUCUAUGAUGAUGAUGAAUAUAUGCACCAUUCUUUUUUGGUUCUACUACCAAACUGAAAUGAGAUCUUACCCUUCCUGUU